rnacentral:rRNA from 1 species
CGGGGGGAGCAAGCGUUGUUCGGAUUUACUGGGCGUAAAGGGCGCGUAGGCGGCGCGACAAGUCACUUGUGAAAUCUCCGGGCUUAACUCGGAGCGGCCAAGUGAUACUGUCGUGCUAGAGUGCGGAAGGGGCAACUGGAAUUCUCGGUGUAGCGGUGAAAUGCGUAGAUAUCGAGAGGAACACCUGCGGCGAAGGCGGGUUGCUGGGCCGACACUGACGCUGAAGCGCGAAAGCCAGGGGAGCGAACGGGAUUAGAUACCCCGGUAGUCCUGGCCUUAAACGAUGAAUGCUUGGUGUCCGGGGUUAUAUAGUCCCCGGGUGCCGGCGCUAACGCAUUAAGCAUUCCGCCUGGGGAGUACGGUCGCAAGACUG